GACGAACGCUGGCGGCGCGCCUAACACAUGCAAGUCGAACGAGCGAGCGAGAGCUUGCUUUCUUGAGCGAGUGGCGAACGGGUGAGUAACGCGUGAGGAACCUGCCUCAAAGAGGGGGACAACAGUUGGAAACGACUGCUAAUACCGCAUAAGCCCACGGUGCCGCAUGGCACAGAGGGAAAAGGAGCAAUCCGCUUUGAGAUGGCCUCGCGUCCGAUUAGCUAGUUGGUGAGGUAACGGCCCACCAAGGCGACGAUCGGUAGCCGGACUGAGAGGUUGAACGGUCACAUUGGGACUGAGACACGGCCCAGACUCCUACGGGAGGCAGCAGUGGGGAAUAUUGCACAAUGGGGGAAACCCUGAUGCAGCGACGCCGCGUGGAGGAAGAAGGUCUUCGGAUUGUAAACUCCUGUUGUUGGGGAAGAUAAUGACGGUACCCAACAAGGAAGUGACGGCUAACUACGUG
rnacentral:rRNA from 1 species